rnacentral:rRNA from 1 species
GAAUGGGGCAAGCGUUGUUCGGAAUAACUGGGCUUAAAGCGUCCGCAGGCGGACUUACAAGUCAGGAGUGAAAUCCCAGAGCUCAACUCUGGAACUGCUUCUGAAACUGUAAGUCUAGAAUAUUGGAGAGGUUGGGAGAAUUCCUAGUGUAGAGGUGAAAUUCGCAGAUAUUAGGAGGAAUACCAGAGGCGUAGGCGCCCAACUGGACAAUUAUUGACGCUCAGGGACGAAGGCAUGGGGAGCAAACAGGAUUAGACACCCUGGUAGUCCAUGCAGUAAACGAUGUGUGCUAGUUGUCAGGCCCCCCUAGGGUUUGGUGACGGAGCGAAAGUUUUAAGCACACCGCCUGGGGAUACGGCCGCAAGGCUA